rnacentral:tRNA from 1 species
GUGCUCGUGGCGCAAGUGGAUAGCGCACCUGACUACGGAUCAGGAGGCUACAGGUUCGAGUCCUGUCGAGCACGCCA